AGAGUUUGAUUCUGGCUCAGAGUGAACGCUGGCGGCGUGCCUAACACAUGCAAGUCGAGCGAGAUUUUACAGAGUAUCGUAGAGUUUAGCGGCAGACGGGUGAGUAACACGUGGGAAACCUCCCUCAAAAUGGGGAAUAUCUCCGGGAAACCGGAGUCAAUACCGCAUAAGACCACAGUUCGGCAUCGAACAGGGGUUAAAGCAGUAAUGCGUUUUGAGAUGGUCCUGCGGCCUAUCAGCUAGUUGGCGGGGUAACGGCCCACCAAGGCUAUGACGGGUAUCCGGCCUGAAAGGGUGAACGGACACACUGGAACUGAGACACGGUCCAGACUCCUACGGGAGGCAGCAGUGGGGAAUUUUGGACAAUGGGCGAAAGCCUGAUCCAGCGACGCCGCGUGGAGGACGAAGGCCUUCGGGUUGUAAACUCCUUUUAGAGGGGAAGAAAAAAAUGACGGUACCCUCAGAAAAAGCCACGGCUAACUACGUGCCAGCAGCCGCGGUAAUACGUAGGUGGCGAGCGUUACUCGGAAUUACUAGGCGUAAAGCGUAUGUAGGUGGUUUGAUAAGUCCUCGGUGAAAUUUUCCGGCUUAACCGGAAAGGGCACGAGGAUACUGUUAGGCUUGAGUGUGGCAGGGGGAAACGGAAUUCCUGGUGUAGCGGUGAAAUGCGUAGAUAUCAGGAGGAACACCGAUGGCGAAAGCAGUUUCCUGGGCCAAUACUGACACUAAUGUACGAAAGCUAGGGUAGCAAACAGGAUUAGAUACCCUGGUAGUCCUAGCUGUAAACGAUGUUCACUAGAUGUGGGAGGUAUCGACCCCUUCCGCGUCGACGCUAACGCAUUAAGUGAACCGCCUGGGGAGUACCGGCCGCAAGGUUGGAACUCAAAGAAUUGACGGGGGGCCCGCACAAGCGGUGGGAGUAUGUGGAUUAAUUCGACGCAACGGCGAACAACCUUACCUGGGCUUGAACUGCUAAUGAUAACAAACCGGAAAACGGCGAUGACCCGCAAGGGGAGUUAG
rnacentral:rRNA from 1 species